AUUCCAUGAUGAGGGCAUUUCUGUAAUAAUUUUUGUACCUUUCCCAUGCCUCAUACAAUGACUCAUCAUCCAUUUGUUGCAAAAUAGUGAUCUCGUUCCUCAACUU
rfam:Gossypium arboreum cultivar AKA8401 contig_39576_3, whole genome shotgun sequence.